AUUGAACGCUAGCGGGAUGCCUUACACAUGCAAGUCGAACGAGUGGGGACGGGUGAGUAACACGUGGGUAACCUCCCAUCCGAGGGGAUAACACUUGGAAACAGGUGCUAAACCGAUACUGAUGGAUGGACACGCGGUGGAUUAGCUAGUUGGGGAGGGAACGGCGCACCAAGGCCACGAUGCAUAGCCGGCCUGAGAGGGUGAUCGGCCACACUGGGACUGAGACACGGCCCAGACUCCUACGGGAGGCAGCAGUAGGGAAUCUUCGGCAAUGGACGAAAGUCUGACCGAGCAAGGCCGCGUGAGUGAAGAAGGUUUUCGGGUCGUAAAACUCUGUUGUUAGGGAAGCGGUAUCUAACCAGAAAGCAACGGCUAACUACGUGCCAGCAGCCGCGGUAAUUC
rnacentral:rRNA from 1 species